UACAAUCGAGAUUUUUUACUUCGGUGUUCAUAAACAAUGCCGCCGCAAAAGAACGAUGAUCAUGCAGUGGAGUUUCUUUAGAUCUCUAAGCACAACUUUAGAUUUCAUGGUAGAACAAAAUGACCAAAGGUACAUUCAAAUGCUUUUUUCCUUUGAUUGGAAGAAUCCGAAGAAAAAAUUGAAUUAAGUUACUUGUUGUAGUUGCUGUUUAUUUUUCGAGUAACUCAGUUUUCGCUGUUCCCAUUAAAAUGGCUUUUUUCAAACGACUCGUCUUCGAAUGAAUUCACUUUGAACAUCGGUUUGGUAUCAAAUUAAUCCUCUUUCGAACAUGUCAAUUGGAAUGCAGAUAAAGAACUGACUCUUUCAGGUUCGUUUUCGUACGUUAACUGAACAAUGGGAACAGAGCCGGCGUGAUCUGACAAGGCCCUCGAAUUUAUUUGCUACAUAAUGGGAUGAAAUUAAUGCCAUCGAGGCAAUUCCUCAAUCAAUGGGGGCCCAUGAGGGUGGGGGCUUAUGACACAAAUUACUUUAAGGGGCUUAUUCAAAAGAGCCUUAUUCUAAGGUGGGGCUUACCCUAGGACUUGCGGUAGUUCAAUGCCAUAAAUCUCUGUUUACACAGAAUAGAAAACGUUCAAACAUACACCCAAAAUAUUUGUCAUGUCUGUCAUAUUUCGAAAAGUCCCAAAGUUGGAAAAUGAGGUCACGCCCUUAAGGAUAAUUCUAGCACAUGCUGUUCCAGUGGUGUUCUUGGAUUUGUCCUAUCCCUUUUAUUUACAUAAAUUCAUACUUUUGCAAUUCAGGAGAAGCCCUUAGACCAUCUGUUCCAAAAGUGUUAUACCCCCAAGAUGGUAUUUCGUCAACAAUGCUCGACACUGACAGUUGGUUGCAAAACUUGCUUAAAGUUUCAACCCGGGCCAAGAAGGAAAGCAUUUUACUUGGAAUCUAUCUGCACUCACCAAUAAAGAACGAAGCUUUAGAGAUAACCAAAGAGGCCAAUGCACACUUGUUAAAUUGUAACCAUGAAGAGACUGACACACGUCCUGGUACUCUAUUCUUGCAUCACCGAUAACAACGUUGUAGUUGUCUAUGAAGACAUCGUUGUACCUGUCUUGACGGUCGCAUGUUUAUUUCGUUGAAAAGCCUUCAAGAAAAUGGCUUUAAAAGAUUGACCACGAGAUGUACGUUAAUGAACAAAAAUUGUAGGAUACCAAGGCGAAGGGCCCCUGCAGAUAUACACCACCCAACAGCAGCAAGAUCCACAGUGCUAUAGCGAUAAAAUUGAGGAGGAUUUCGUAACCAAUGAAGAUCAAGUCAUGGAACAUUUGUUGGAAAUUGAACACUCUUGUAAGAUAUAUACAAAGAACAUUGAAGAAAGAACUAGCUUUCUUUCCUUAUGCUAGAACAUUCGAAUGGAACUUACGAGAACUUUCGGACGAUUGUAUUUACUAGAACCUUCUAGAAGAACUUCCUAGGUUAUUUAAACGGCUUCUUUGUAACUUUGAAUCAAUCUACGUAUAUGUCUGAGCUGUUUGAAUCAGAAAAAAGUCCUCUUUCUUUGACUGCAAAGUCAAAGCUUCAAUAACAUUACGGUGAUCAGUUUGGAGUUUUUUCGCCGGUUAUUUUACAUACUGAAGAUGACGGAUUUUCUGCAUAUACUGAUUUCGUCUACUAAAAUGUAACAAGGAAUUGUCGAAUGGAUUCAAGCUAAAGGAACUUACGAUGUCUUUUUUUGUCGUGGUGAUGGUUACUAGUUUCAUUAUCGAGCUGCGUUUCCCAAAGUCAGUUUGGAGUUGAACUCAUUUUAUUUGGUUCGGGUGUUAAAGCAAAGGAGACAGGGAUGAGAAUGAAUGGAUUCCUUUCAUUUCCAAUCCAACAAAUUUUACUGUUGACUAACUAUUUUUCAGGCUUACUUUGCAAUGACACUCAAUUACCCGUAAAGAAUGAUGACGUAAUAAAAUGAUGAUAAUGUCUUGCAAAGACGUUUAGAAGUAAGUAAAAUAGUAAUUAUAUAUUUCUUCAAAUCACUGAGUAUGUGCUAUGCGAAUGUGGAACUUGAACAAUGACAGUUGCGAGAAACAAUAAAGAUGGUUCAAAGUAAAUUUUCCCAGUUUGACUUCUGUUCAAAAUUUUUUAUUCUAUCUUGGAUUCGAAAUUUGCAUAGUUAAUUUGAUGGUGAAAUGCAAUAAAAGUACAUAUAGGUCAAGUCCUUGGCU